AAAAUGACCACACCCAGAACAGUUGCGUUGUCUGCUUUCUAAGACAGCGUCUCUAGUGCUUGACUAUGAGAUUUUGGGUUGUGUUGUGAGAGGUCCCAUUUAGAAAUUACCAGGCGGCCGGCUUCGCGGCGUUAGGUACCUUUGCACACAUUAAAUCUGCAACAGCAAAUGCUCUGACGAGACAGAGCGUGAAAUGAAUUUACACUACCAAUGAAAUGAAAAUGCACCCAAAGCAUUGUAAAGGGAUGAAAUGUCCAGUGUGUGUAGUCCUGGGCUACAUUAUUACAUCGUGUGCAGCCAAAGAAACCAACAAGACAUGGUAAAGCCUUCCUGAGAACCUGGGAUUUGACUAUGAUGACACAUACGACGAAUGCUGACGCCCAACAAUAGAAUUUACCCCAAGAGGAGGCUGACGUCCGGACCAAGACAGUAUACAGGACAACUGGAAUGAACAAGAGGGCGGAGCCCGGACGGAUGAGAGAAAUGGAGGAGGAUGUGAAGGCAGAACCCGGGGCAUACUGUAGUGCGAUUUGCAGUGAACGCAUACGUGGACUGCUUUAUCCAACUCUGGCAGCCUUGGAUGGACAACAAGCUCAGAAAUCAGUGCGCUUGGUGCAAAAUCUCAGUUUCUUCACGAAUAUCUAAUAUUCAUCUUAUACAUAAAAUUGGUCCCUCUCCUUCAGGCAAAUUAAAAAAUAGUUAACGGACAUUUGAUAUACUUCAGGCAGAUUCAAAAACAUUAAAGUUAACGGCCAUUCAGUAAACUAUCUUUUAGAAAAACCUUAACAGAAUAAGCACCUCUCCUAAACUGCCAGCAGCCACAGCAAAUAUAAAAAAAAUAAAAUUAGAUUUUG